rnacentral:ncRNA from 1 species
UUGUCGGGACGACCCGACAAGCGGCGCAUGUUUUCCGGGGACGACCCCG